GUUUUAGAGAACUUCCUGGGUUGGGGUGUGGAGCUGGGCGGUCCAGGAUGUUCUGUCAUCAGAGACUGGCGGCUUCUGGGGAACUUGGUGCCGUGGAACACAGUAGGGACGUUCUGCUUCUCAUCAAGAACAUGAAGACAUUAAGAGGUGGAAUUGUAAUGGAGAAAAAGACUUUUGCAUUCUGGUAACCAACUGAUCCUACCCGGACCCAUGAUGCAUAACUCAGCUGGUCCUGUGGCGCACACCCAGAGGCCGACUCAAUGCAUGAAGACUGUUUUCCACACCCCUAUGAUUUCAUCCCCAACCAAGCAGCAGCAUCCAUUCCCUAGCCCCCUGCCCACCAAAUUAUCCAUAAAAACUCUGGCUUCUGAGUUCUCAGCAAAACUGAUUUUAGUAAUAACUCCAGUUCUUCCACUUGGCUGGCCUUAGUUAAUUAAACUUAUUCUUUACUAUAGUACCGUGUUCCCAGUGAAUUGGUUUUGUCUGUGUAGCAGGCAGGACAACCCAUCAGGCAAUCACACAGUUACUCUGCAGUGCUUCUUUUUAUUUUGCUUUUCAAACAAAUUUCAAAUAUUAUUAGAUUGAAAUAAACUAUACAAAUAGCUUUUCCUCACAAAAA